rnacentral:lncRNA from 1 species
UGAAAAUCCUGCCAGAAAUUAUCCGAAUCACCCAGCCACUGGUAAAGAAAUGGCGAGCAGCAAAGAAAGGAAAAGUCCAUGAAGACGCCAAAAGAGAAAUCAGCUUGAUAUUUUCAUCUCCUGCUUGUUUGACUGCAAGUUUUUUGAAGAAAAGAGAUGCUGGAGAGAAUAAUUUCAUUAACGUGGACUUAAAACUGGCAAGGGAUGUCUUCAAGAUGUUAACAGCAGAGAAAUGGAUUUCCUCCUUGAUAACCACUUGUCUUGAGGAGACUCUGCUUAGAGGUCUUCCAUACAGCUCUCCACAUCAAGAAGCUCUAUUAGUUUUUCUUUUGCUCCCGGAAUGUUCCAUUAUGCAGGAUCCCAAGAACUGGAAGACACUGGCAUUUGAAUUUGCAAGCGCUAUUCAUAAAAUGAGGUCAAAGUCAUUAACAUUCCUGAGAAACUGGUGGGCAUCUUUGGAAGUUUCUUCUCUGAACUCACUGGUCCAGAUGCUAAAGAAAACCAUCGUCUCUCAACUGCAUAAUGAAGUUCCAAUGAUGAAGGAUACGUCUAACCUUAAAGUUUCUUUAGAAAUGAUGAAAGAAGUGCAAAAGAUACUAGAGAAAACCAACUCUCAUCUUCAUAAUGAAGUUCCAAAGAUGGAGGAUACGUCUAAUCUUAAAGUUCUCUUAGAAGUGAUGAAAGAAGUGCAUGAGGUAAA